CCUCCAAAUGCCAUUGAGAGCAUAAAGGGUCUGGCCAAGUCUUUCCAAAGUGGCCGCCUGUCUGAGCUCACUGUUAGGGAGGCCCUGCGAAAUGGUCUGGUAGUUACAGAGGUCCUUAUGUGGUUUUAUAUUGGGGAGUGCAUCGGAAAAGGUGGCCUUGUAGGAUACAAUGUUUGAGACUUUUUUUUUCCACUUCACUAUUGUGAUAAUGACAUCAUGGACUAAAUAAACCGUAAAGAAACUCUUCUUCCUCAA